UACGGGGGGGGGCAAGCGUUGUUCGGAAUUACUGGGCGUAAAGGGCUCGUAGGUGGCCAACUAAGUCAGACGUGAAAUCCCUCGGCUUAACCGGGGAACUGCGUCUGAUACUGGAUGGCUUGAGUUCGGGAGAGGGAUGCGGAAUUCCAGGUGUAGCGGUGAAAAUGCGCAGAUAUCAGGAAGAACACCCGUGGCGAAGGCGGCUCUCUGGGACGGUACUGACGCUGAGACGCGAAAGCGUGGGGAGCGAACAGG
rnacentral:rRNA from 1 species